UACGAAGGGGGGCUAGCGUUGCUCGGAAUCACUGGGCGUAAAGCGCACGUAGGCGGAUCUUUAAGUCAGGGGUGAAAUCCCAAGGCUCAACCUUGGAACUGCCUUUGAUACUGGGGAUCUCGAGUCCGGAAGAGGUUGGUGGAACUCCGAGUGUAGAGGUGAAAUUCGUAGAUAUUCGGAAGAACACCAGUGGCGAAGGCGGCCAACUGGUCCGGCACUGACGCUGAGGUGCGAAAGCGUGGGGAGCAAACAGG
rnacentral:rRNA from 1 species